CAUCACCUCGUCUCCUCUUUACCCAGGCGUACCCUGUGACGACGGCGUCGGUCUCAGAGCACGGCCGAAGCGUGCGGCCCGAGGACCCGGUCAUUCUUAGGAGGCGACUAGGAGACAGCAGCCCGGUGACAGCAGGAACCUCCCAGACAGCCUGGUGGCCUUGCUUUGCACCUGAUGUGGAUUCUCAUUCCUGGAGAGCCAAGAGAUAAGUUGAGGGCUGUGACUUACAGAGGGGAUGGAAGGGGGCUGCUGUGUCAGGACUCAUUAGGUGGUAUUUUUGAGUCAGCUUUGGAGCUGAGGAUAUCCAGGAAAUGUUGUCUUGAGCCCACACAAAAGCAAAGUGUCGCUUUUGAUCCCAGUGCUGAGGUGCGCAGGGCAGAGCAGUCCCGGCGUGUGUUGUGUCAUGUGGCUAUUGUGCAUUAUGUGUUGUUUAAUGUCUUUUCCCUUAGCCCUUUGAGGGGCCUAACAGAAACCCUGGCAUCAUUCUUAGCAUCUGCGAUCUCUGCAUUUCUUGGCCUGGCACCAAUGCCACAGGACUUUUGACUCAGGAGCUCAGACAGGCAUCAGAAUUGCACCUCUCUUUAGGAGCAUCCAGUCAGAUGUCUUUGCAGGUCUUGUUCUGAGCUGUAUGUACCUUGCAAGGAUCCAUUAUGGCAGAUUAGGGCUUGUAAGAAUGCAAGGAUAGGUGGAGGAUGCUGACCGUAGGAUUCUCAGACAUCCAUCUUUGUAGUUCUUGGAAUAAACCAUUGUCUUAGCAGGAUAUUCCUCCAGGGUUCUGGGAGCCUCAUCAGCUCGCCAUCAGUCUCAUCUCGGUCAUCUAAUCUUGCAUUCUCUCAGUCCUUGCAGUCAUUCUUCUUGCCAAGAGAUUCCUGUCCCUGUUGUGUCCCCCUUGUUUGUCAUGUCGUGUCCUGUGUCACGGGUGUCUGCACGUAUUUGUGCCGGAGCUGCUCUGCCCUGCUGCAUAGCCUGGUGUAAUAGGACAAAUCCUGGGGGGCUUGAAAUUUGUUGUGUGCUGUAGUUGGACUCUAGAUGAUAUUCCUAGGCUGACCCAGAUGUCUGGAGCUGUGAAGUGGUCCUGCAGCCCUUUGACAUUUUUCCUAACUUUCUUUCAGAUGCAGAUGGAUAAAAUCCAUGGCAGAGCACCCCAUCCCAGGAAGUAAAGUGAUAGAGCAACAGUCAAGUUGAAGUGGUCAAGGCAAUCUACUCAGGUUAUGCCAAGCCCCUGUCAUCAACCAGCCGAUUGACCAGGUUUGCUGGUCUCAUGAGCCCUGUGGAGGUAUUGCAGGACCCUGUGAUGAAGCCUUGAAAUUUUCUAUUUAAAGGUUGCUUCUGGGUAGCCCUCAGGAAUGGGCAACGAGCCGUGGUGAGUUGGGGGGUAUCGAGGAGGAGCUGGGGUCCGCUCAGUUCUCAGCUAUGCUACAUCACCUCAUCUCCUCUUUACCCAGGCGUACCCUGUGACGACGGCGUCGGUCUCAGAGCACGGCCGAAGCGUGCGGCCCGAGGACCCGGUCGUUCUUAGGAGGCGUUGAGUAGCAGAAUUUUCAGGUUUUGGUCGAUAUGCUGCUAAGAUGAUGCACUGAUGUCUGGUUUCCUUUAUCUUGACAGACUAGGAGACAGCAGCCCGGUGACAGCAGGAACCUCCCAGACAGCCUGGUGGCCUUGCUUUGCACCUGAUGUGGAUUCUCAUUCCUGGAGAGCCAAGAGAUAAGUUGAGGGCUGUGACUUACAGAGGGGAUGGAAGGGGGCUGCUGUGUCAGGACUCACCAGGUGGGAUUUUUGAGUCAGCUUUGGAGAUGAGGAUAUCCAGGAAAUGUUGUCUUAAGGCCACACAAAAACAAAGUGUCACUUUUAAUCCCAGUGCUGAGGUGCGCAGGGCAGAGCAGUCCCGGUGUGUGUUGUGUCACGUGGCUAUUGUGCAUUAUGUGUUGUUUGGCUAUCUCAUGUCUUUUACCUUAGCCCUUUGAGGGGCCUAUCAGAAACCCUGGCAUCAUUCUUGGUCUGGCACCAAUGCCAUAGGACUUUUGACUCGGGAGCUUGGACCGGCAUUGGAAUUGCACCUCUCUUUAGGAGCAUCCAGUCAGAUGUCUUUGCAGGUCUUGUUCUGAGCUGUACAUACUGCUGUGCAUUGCAAGGAUCCCUUAUGGCAGAUUAGGACUUGUAAGAAUGUGAGGAUAGGUAGAGGAUUCUGACCAUAGGAUUCACAGGCAUCCAUCUUUGCAGUUCUUAGAAGGAACCAUUCUCUUAGCAGAUACUUCCUCCACAGUUCUCUGAGCCUCAUCGGCUCUCACCUCAGUCAUCUAAUGUUGCGUUCUCUCGGUCCUUGCAGUCAUUCUUCUUGUCAAGAGAUUUCUGUCCCUGUUGUGUCCCCAUUGUUUGUCCUGUUCCGUGUCACGGGUGUCUGCACACGUUUGUGCCCGGGCUGCUCUGCCCUGCUGCGUAGCCUGGUGUAAUAGGACAAGUCCUGGGAACUUGAAAUUUGUAAUGUGGGGUUUAGUUGGAUUCUAGACCGUAUUGGUAGACGGACACAGGAUGUCUGGAGCUGUGAAGUUAUCCUGCAGCCCUUUGACAUUUGUCCUGACUUUCUUUCAGAUGCAGAUGGAUAAAAUCCAUGGCAGAGCACCCUAUCCCAGGAAGUAAAGCCGGAUAUCAGCAGUCAAGGCAAUCCAUUCAGAGUAUGCCAAGCCCCCAUCCGCAACCGGCUGAUGGACCGGGUGUGCUGCUCUUGUGAGCCCUGUGGAGGUAUUGCUGGACUCUGUGAUGAAGCCCUGA